rnacentral:rRNA from 1 species
UCGAACGUAAGAUGACUGUAGGUGAAAGCUUACAUCUCUUCGGAGCAUUUUUACGAGGUGCUGCAUGGUUGUCGUCAGCUCGUGCCGUGAGGUGUCGGGUUAAGUCCCAUAACGAGCGCAACCCUAUCAUUAGUUGCCAUCAGGUCAAGCUGGGGACUCUAAUGAAACUGCCUACGCAAGUAGUGAGGAAGGUGGGGAUGACGUCAAAUCAGCACGGCCCUUACGUCCAGGGCUACACACGUGCUACAAUGGCCGGUACAAAGGGCAGCUACCUGGUGACAGGAUGCUAAUCUCAAAAAGCCGGUCUCAGUUCGGAUCGGAGUCUGCAACCCGACCCCGUGAAGCUGGAAUCGCUAGUAAUCGCGCAUCAGCCAUGGCGCGGUGAAUACGUUCCCGGGCCUU